CCUCUCUAGGUUUCUUCCUAAAAUUCGACCUUCUUAGGGAGUUUUUCCUAGCCACUGAAAUUCAACACUACUGUUGUUUGCUCCUUGGGGUUUAAGGCUGGGUGUCUCUGUAAAGCACUUUGUGACAACUGCUGUUGUAAAAAGGGCUUUAUAAAUACAUUUGAUUGAUUAUGGAAUUAAAAUAACAUUUAUUGGAGAAAAAUUUGACCUUAUACUCUCUGACUACAACCUUUAUGCCUAUCCUUCUCUUCGUACCAGGAAACCUACAGUCGUUUUCAGUUCCUAUCCAAUCUCAUUUCCAGACUCUUCUGAAUUUGCGGAAGGUCUGGUGGAACAAUUUAAUGAAAGCAAAUAAGCAAAUAAGACAGUUGGGAAACAUCCCUGCAUCAAUAGCCUUUAGUUUAAUUGGCUUAGUCUACUGACCAAUCAUCUCCCACAAUCUGUGUUUUGUUAACCCAAGCACCAAUCACUACAAUGUUGUAACAUUGCUGUUUGACAUCUUUUUUGCAUAUGCUGACUUUUCCCACUGACACUGAACACGCUGCAUAACAAGGCAGUUCUUGCUUCAUUAAAACUAGUUCAUUAUGAUCAAAAAAGUGCUGUUGCCUAUAAGCUUGUUUUAUGAAUUGGCUGACUCAUUGUAGACUGAAUGUAAUAGAAGUGUUAUUUUAGAUGAUCAAACAUCAGAAAUGCAGUUCCAUUUCAUGCCACAUUGCAGUAUUUUGAUUGGCUAUAUUUCAAAACAUGACAAAUACUUCACACUUCCACAGGAUGACAGUCACCCCCUAAAGUCCAACUUAGACUGUUAGGUGUUCCUGGCUUAUUUGCUCUGUGCACAAUAACCUGGGGAUGAGGUUAAUUUCUAUCUUGCCACCAAAAUUUAACGCCAAAUUCAAUACAUUUCCAUACAUUAAAUGAAACAAAAUUUUGAAGAAGUGUGGUGAAUAUUUAUGCAAUCCUCAAUUUUCAAACAUACCAUCUAUCUGGCACCAAGAUGUUAGCAGUAGAUCCUCUAAGUUGCGAAGUGGCACCUCCAUGGAUCUGACUUGUUUGUCCAGCACAUUCCACAGAUGCUUGAUUGGAUUGACAUCUGCCAACACCUUGAACUCAUUGGUUUGUUCCUCAAACCAUUCCUCAAAUAUUUUUGCUUUGUGGCAGGGUACAUUAUCCUGCUGAAAGAGGCAAAUGCCAUCAGGCAAUACCAUUCCCAUUAAAGGGUGCACAUGGUCUGUAACAAUGUUCAGGCAGGUGGUACGUGUCAAAGUAACAUUCACAUGAAUGGCAGGACCCAAGGUUUCCCAGCAGAAACUUGCCCAAAGCAUCAGACUGCCUCCGCCGGCUUGCCUUCUUCCCACAGUGCAUCCUAGUGCCACGUGUUCUCCAGGUAAGCGAAACGUACCAGGGCAUCCACGUGCUAUAAAUAAAAACAGGAUUCAUCAGACCAGGCCACCUUCUUCCAUUGCUCCAUGGUCCAGUUCUGAUGCUCAUGUGCCCAUUGUAAGUGCUUUCGGCAGUGGAUCGGUGUCAGUAUGGGCCCCCUGACUGGUCUGCGGCUACACAGCUCCAUACGCAAUGAACUGUGAUGCACUGUGUAUUCUGACACCUUUCUAUCAGUACCAACAUGAACUUUUUCAACAAGUUGGUUCGGAACUCAUGGGCCAGCCUUCGCUCCCCACGUGCAUCAAUGAGCCUUGGUCGCCCCUGACCCUAUUGCCCGUUCACCGCUUUUCCUUCCUUGGACCACUUUUUAUAGGAACUGACCACUGCAGACCGGGAACACAAGGGCUACAGUUUUGUAGAUGCUCGGACCCAGUCGUCUAGCCAUCACAAUUUGGCCCUUGUCAAUGACGCUCAGAUCCUUAAGCUUGUCCAUUGUUCCUGCUUCUAACACAUCAUUUUUGAGGACAGAAUGUUCACUUUUCCCACCCACUGACAGGUGCCAAGAUGACGAGAUUGUCAGUGUAAUUCACUUCACCUGUCAGUGGUUAUAAUGUUAUGGCUGAUUGGUGUAUGAUUAAUGAAACACUGAAAAUGUAUUUAUUCCCUGACAUUCCUCCUAACAGACCUUCCUCGGCCCAGUCUGACAGUGAUUCCUACAGUCAUCAGAGAGAGAGGCUCAGUUGAGAUGAUCUGUGCAACUCCUUCAUCUCUCUCUGAGUCUGAGUGUUACUUCAAAUUUGAGGGGCAAGUGGAGUUUACCCUACCAGCAGCCUGUCAACAGACACUCAGAAUCACAGUAAAUCAUCUGUUACGGUGGACAGGUCGAAGUUCACCUGCUGUGGUCAAAAUACAAUGUCAAUACAGUAACACUGGCUUUCAGUUUAGAUCCAUAUUCAGUGACCCAUCUACAGUCACAAUUCAGGAUCAUCCUCAGCUGACAGUGAUUCCUACAGUCAUCAGAGAGAGAGACUCAGUUCAGCUGAUCUGUGAGACUCCUCCAUCUGUCUAUGUGUCUGACUGUAUCUUCAGUGAAGUGGGGAGAUCUAGUCUGCCAGGCUCAACCUGUAAACAGACGGUCACAGGAUCUCAGCUGCUCUCUUGGACAGGUCAACCAUUACCAGCUGUGGUCCAGGUCACAUGUCACUACACUGUAGGGAUGUCUCACACAUCUCCUGUCAGUGACCCAGUUUCUGUCACUGUCCAGGGUUAGUAGGUUGUUAAUACAAUAAUAGCUAAACGUAUAAUACACUAUAUCCUAUAGCAUAGAAAUAGUAUAAUACAAUGGUAUAAUACAUUUUUACCUAUUUAAUAAGGAGCAAGGAGGCAUAUUAAUUGGUCAAAUUAAAAUGGCUGAGAUUUUAUGUUAUACAAAAUGAAAAGUUGCAUUCCUGAAAACAGACCUUAGCUACGUUAUAUUGAUA
ensembl:lncRNA